AACGAACGCUGGCGGCAUGCCUAACACAUGCAAGUCGAACGAGACCUUCGGGUCUAGUGGCGCACGGGUGCGUAACGCGUGGGAAUCUGCCCUUUGCUUCGGAAUAACAGUUAGAAAUGACUGCUAAUACCGGAUGAUGUCUUCGGACCAAAGAUUUAUCGGCAAAGGAUGAGCCCGCGUAGGAUUAGGUAGUUGGUGGGGUAAAGGCCUACCAAGCCGACGAUCCUUAGCUGGUCUGAGAGGAUGAUCAGCCACACUGGGACUGAGACACGGUCCAGACUCCUACGGGAGGCAGCAGUGGGGAAUAUUGGACAAUGGGCGGCAAGCCUGAUCCAGCCAUGCCGCGUGUGUGAAGAAGG
rnacentral:rRNA from 1 species